GGCCCUAUAGCUCAACUGGAUAGAGCAGCUGCCUUCUAAGCAGCAGGUUUCAGGUUCGAGUCCUGAUGGGGUCACCA
rnacentral:tRNA from 1 species